rnacentral:rRNA from 1 species
CAGCCGCCGCGGUAAUACGUAGGGUGCAAGCGUUAAUCGGAAUUACUGGGCGUAAAGCGUGCGCAGGCGGUUAUAUAAGACAGAUGUGAAAUCCCCGGGCUCAACCUGGGAACUGCAUUUGUGACUGUAUAGCUAGAGUACGGCAGAGGGGGAUGGAAUUCCGCGUGUAGCAGUGAAAUGCGUAGAUAUGCGGAGGAACACCGAUGGCGAAGGCAAUCCCCUGGGCCUGUACUGACGCUCAUGCACGAAAGCGUGGGGAGCAAACAGGAUUAGAUACCCCCGUAGUCCCUGUCUUCUUAUA